GAUGAACGCUGGCGGCGUGCCUAAUACAUGCAAGUCGAGCGAACAGACGAGGAGCUUGCUCCUCUGACGUUAGCGGCGGACGGGUGAGUAACGCGUGGAUAACCUACCUAUAAGACUGGGAUAACUUCGGGAAACCGGAGCUAAUACCGGAUAAUAUAUUGAACCGCAUGGUUCAAUAGUGAAAGACGGUUUUGCUGUCACUUAUAGAUGGAUCCGCGCCGCAUUAGCUAGUUGGUAAGGUAACGGCUUACCAAGGCAACGAUGCGUAGCCGACCUGAGAGGGUGAUCGGCCACACUGGAACUGAGACACGGUCCAGACUCCUACGGGAGGCAGCAGUAGGGAAUCUUCCGCAAUGGGCGAAAGCCUGACGGAGCAACGCCGCGUGAGUGAUGAAGAUCUUCGGAUCGUAAAACUCUGUUAUUAGGGAAGAACAAAUGUGUAAGUAACUAUGCACGUCUUGACGGUACCUAAUCAGAAAGCCACGGCUAACUACGUG
rnacentral:rRNA from 1 species